UUGCUCUUCAACGAGGAAUGCCUAGUAAGCGCGUGUCAUCAGCACGCGUUGAUUACGUCCCUGCCCUUUGUACACACCGCCCGUCGCUACUACCGAUUGAAUGGCUCAGUGAGGCCUUCGGACUGGCCCAGGGAGGUUGGCAAUGACCACCCUGAGCCGGAAAGUUCGUCAAACUCGGUCAUUUAGAGGAAGUAAAAGUCGUAACAAGGUUUCCGUAGGUGAACCUGCGGAAGGAUCAUUAUCGUGGGGCUCCGGCCCCGUCGAGAUAGCACCCUUGCCUUUACAGUACCGCCCGUUUCCUCGGCAGGCUCGCCUGCCAAUGGGGACAACAAAACACCCUGAUAUCACCUGUAACCGUCUGAUAAAACAAACAAAAUUCAAAACUUUCAACAACGGAUCUCUUGGUCCUGGCAUCGAUGAAGAACGCAGCGAAAUGCGAUAAGUAGUGUGAAUUGCAGAAUUCAGUGAAUCAUCGAAUCUUUGAACGCACAUUGCGCCCCCUGGUAUUCCGGGGGGCAUGCCUGUUCGAGCGUCAUUUCACCACUCAAGCCUCGCUUGGUAUUGGGCGACGCGGUCCGCCGCGCGCCUCAAAUCGACCGGCUGGGUCUUUCGUCCCCUCAGCGUUGUGGAAACUAUUCGCUAAAGGGUGCCGCGGGAGGCCACGCCGUAAAACAACCCCAUUUCUAAGGUUGACCUCGGAUCAGGUAGGGAUACCCGCUGAACUUAAGCAUAUCAAUAAGCGGAGGA
rnacentral:rRNA from 1 species